rnacentral:rRNA from 1 species
GAUGAACGCUGGCGGCGUGCCUAAUACAUGCAAGUCGAGCGAACGGACGAGAAGCUUGCUUCUCUGAUGUUAGCGGCGGACGGGUGAGUAACACGUGGAUAACAUACCUAUAAGACUGGGAUAACUUCGGGAAACCGGAGCUAAUACCGGAUGAUAUUUUGAACCGCAUGGUUCAAAAGUGAAAGACGGUCUUGCUGUCACUUAUAGAUGGAUCCGCGCUGCAUUAGCUAGUUGGUAAGGUAACGGCUUACCAAGGCAACGAUGCAUAGCCGACCUGAGAGGGUGAUCGGCCACACUGUAACUGAGACACGGUCCAGACUCCUACGGUAGGCAGCAGUAGGGAAUCUUCCGCAAUGGGCGAAAGCCUGACGGAGCAACGCCGCGUGAGUGAUGAAGGUCUUCGGAUCGUAAAACUCUGUUAUUAGUGAAGAACAUAUGUGUAAGUAACUGUGCACAUCUUGACGGUACCUAAUCAGAAAGCCACGGCUAACUACGUG